GGCGGACGGGUGAGUAAUGUCUGGGAAACUGCCUGAUGGAGGGGGGNGUAAACUACUGGAAACGGUAGCUAAUACCGCNUAACGUCGCAAGACCAAAGAGGGGGACCUUCGGGCCUCUUGCCAUCGGAUGUGCCCAGAUGGGAUUAGCUAGUAGGUGGGGUAACGGCUCACCUAGGCGACGAUCCCUAGCUGGUCUGAGAGGAUGACCAGCCACACUGGAACUGAGACACGGUCCAGACUCCUACGGGAGGCAGCAUG
rnacentral:rRNA from 1 species